UGCGUAUCUGCAUGUGUGUGUAAGAGUUAUAUUAGAUCUUCACUGUUUGUUUAUAUGUGUAUACGAUAUUCCAAUAACCCAUAAAAGAUUUGGCGCAAGUAGAAUUGAAUGCAGGAAGGAAUCCAUAUUGUGAACUCCAUCUAGUUCUGAGUGGAGGCUUGAUUGAGUUUGGUUGAAUUUUGGAGUCCUAAUUGGGUAAUACAACAAAAAUUAAUAUUACUAUAUUAUGCAUUUGAACCUGAGUAGCUUCUUUUUGAUAGAUUUUGACAAUUUAUUUAUUUAUUUUUUUUCCCUUUUCCGUUUGUGACAUAAACAUUCCAGUCUCAACUUGAAGCUUCUGACUUUUAUGGGAUAGAUUUUUCCAUUUAAAAGGGUAUGAAGCGGUUCAAGUAUAUUUAAUGAUACGCAUAUCAAUUUAUGUGGGUGGCGUGCGAAUUGCAUAUAUUCAGGUAGGGGAUGACUUCAUUAUUUAUCUUCUGAAACAUACAUUGAUGUUUUUGCUGCUUCCUCUAUCUAUCAGUACUCAGUAAUAUGGUCCUUAAAUUGAUGAAGGCCAAGAUGCUUUAGUUUCUGUCAUCUGUCAUCCACAUUGGUAAUCAGGAGUUGAAAUUAACACUUUUCAUGUUUUUGCAUAAUGUUGCUUGAAGCAGCAGCAUUGCUUCUCAUGCUGGUGCAAUUGAUUUGCUAUUAUUUCUGGGAAUGUAAUUGAAAAAAAAAUCUUAUAUUUGAAAAAAAAAAAUGUUACUUGACCAACUUGUUUCUAUAUCCAAAAUUUUCCUGUAAUAUUAUGAUUAGAUCAAUUACUAUUACUGAUGUAAUCUAAUAAGCACAACUCGAAUUAUGUGGAGCUAAAAAAGAGGAAAUUAUAUGUUACCUAAUGGGGAAGUUGAAAUGCACUUCUUGAAAAAUGCUAGCAAAAUUUUGUUAGUGGUAAUGGGAGGCAUGCCAGUUAUUUACAUGACUACCAAAUGGCUUUUGCAUUAAUUAAUUCUUUUUGAAGUCUCUUAAGUUUGAAGCACAAUAGUUGGACUUUUACCUUUUUGUCUGUUUAAAAUUUUAUUUUACCCAUAUGUGCUUUGUUAACUGGUUUUAAGUAUAUGCAUGUGCUUUCAAAGAAAAGGAUGCAUCCUUUUAUGUACUAGUUCUUACUACUGUCUAGCUCUUCAUUUGGAGUUGGGAGAAGUUGAGUGGCUUUGUUCAAGUAUUGAAGAGAAACCAAUCAGAGCAUUAAAAAUUACUUUCUUUGUUGAGGUCAAAGUUGUUACCAUGAAAUAUAAUUGAGAUGUGCAUCUUCUCAUUCACAACUAGUAUGAAGUUGAUUGCUUAGUUCCUCAUUGAUUUUGAGAUCAAAUAUUAUAUGCUUAAAGGCUCAGUUAGUGGACCCCAGUCUGUAGCUAAGCAUAUGCACGUAAUGGAAGAAACUAAAUGGAAUGCAAGGAGAGAGAAUAGAAAAGGAAACAAAUUUGUUUCAUGGUGACAGGAGACGUGUCUAAUUUGGGGUUACGUGUUUGAUUGAAGGGAGGGAAUCUAGGUGGUGGAGAUUUAUUUGGCUUUUUGCUAAUUUUGCUUGCUUCUUUUUCUGAGAUUGAUGAUGGAAUGAGUCUUGGUCUUUUGGUACAAUCAUUCUGUGGGCAAUUCAUUUCUCUGUGUCUUUCUGUCAAGGCCAUAGAAGCCAUUCGCAAAAGUGGUUCGCAUUAUUCUCAACUUCUACUUCCACAGAUUGAAAAGAAGGCUUUCUCGCUUUGCUAUAGAAUGUGCUCUUUAAAUUCAAAAUCUCUUGUUAAAUCACCAAUUUUUUUAUCGAGUUUUCUAUGAUUUUGUUCAUGCUUUGGUACUAUUCAGUGGUGUUUUACUUUCGAAGUGUGUAAGUUUUGUGUCUCACCAGUGAAAUGUGAUUUGGUCUACUUAUUUGUAUGUAUUUCAUCUGGGUCGUUGUUGAUAUGUUCUGCUAGAACAAUGCAUCUGGAAUCUGCAUUCGAGUAUGAGUAUGUUUUCCUUGGUCAAUGAAAGAAAUGUUUCUGUUGUAUUGUGAUAAUAUCAUAAGAUGAAGAUGUUGAUUUGUAUUUCAUGUUUGAAGUUGUGACUGUUUAAAAGAGUGGCAUGCACCAACACUUCUUCAAAUACAGGAGAAAGAAAACCCCCCGUGGCGCAAUGGGAGACAAGUUAGUAAGGCAGGCAACCGAUGAGAAUUGAAGUCUUUAAGUGAUAUUUGGCUAGUCUUUGUUAAAAGAAACAGAGAUCAGGUCCUUUCUGCUCACCUUGUAUGGAAUAUGAGGUUGAUAAUAACCCUGGUGCAUUUGAAUUUGUGAGGAUAUUAUCUAUCAGCCUGUAUCAGCUCGCCCAGUCGAACUGUGUCAUUGCUCAGUAAGCAUAGAAAACAAAAACAGCAAAGCUCCAGACAAUGAAUGGGCGUCUCAGAUCGCGUCUCCCUCUUCUCACCAGGAUUAUGAGAUCCGAUUCCCUCUCUGCUUCCUGAUCGGCGUUUCAAUGCUUCGUUCUCCGCCCUGCUUUCUUAUCUGAGGAAUCAUUAUUAAUUUUCGAGAGCAAGUUGUUUCUGCCUACUCUCUUCUUGUGCACUGAGUAAUGACUAAUUAUGCUACUGCAUAGGGACAAAAGGAGGAGAAGGUUAAGUUAAGUAAACUUAUUGUUUUGAUGGUGCUUAUUGGACAUAUGAAUGUGUGUCUGUUUGCGUGUGUAUGCGCGCGCGCAUGCAAAAGUAUGGUUGUGACCAUUCUUUAGGCAUUGAUGAACAAAAGAUGUCCUUUUGGCUUAGAUGAAUAAAAAUUGGAUUCGGUUAUAUUAAAUAAAUUUCCACUGGUUUUCUUGAAAACUCCAUGAUAGAGAUUAAGUGGGACAAAAUGCAUCUUCUUAUAGCAUGGCUAUUUCAUGUAGCAUUUUCAAGUGACCCUUGAUUGUAUUUGUUCUUUAAAGAAAUAGAAAAACUUUUUUAUUAGAGAAGACUAAAGAAAAGGUGCUUAUCAUUCAUUUUACAUGAUAAUAUCGAAGCUAUAACUUGUAUUGUGAUUUUUGAAGAUUGUCAUAUCAGACAUUACAUGUUUGUAAACCUUUUGGUUAACAGUGAACAUUUUGUUCUCUUUUUUCUGAUAUUUUUCUUACUUUAUGGUGCUAUAAGACACUGGAUUAUUAUUUGAUGCUGAUACAACAGUGUGAUUAACUUUGUUUUAGACCUGACUGGGAAAUGUGAUUUGGCAUGUAAUCAUUGAAUUGUUAAAUGUUUUUUUUUAAAUGUCAUAUGAAUUCAAAACUAGGAAAUGAAGUUUGAACUUGCAAUAUGUCUUUAUUUACAGAGGGGCACUAAACAUUAAAAUUGAUUAUCUUUAUUUGUUUUAAUCCUGCUUUGAUGGUUCUGUCUACUUGCUCUGUUUGGGGAUCUGGAAACUAUGCUUUUGCUUUGUACCUUGCUGGCAAAAAUGCUAAUGCAUAGGAAAAAGUUGAGUCUGACUGAAAUUCUUGACUUUGUGGAGGCUUCAAAGAAAAACCCUACAUUUGCUGAGUUCACAAAGGACUUGACAGUGCCUUCUGAUACAAGAGUCAAGGCCAUUUUCGAAAUUUGUGCCCAAGCUAAAUUUUCAGAUGUUACAAAGAACUUUUUAGCAAUGUAGCUAUGUUGGCUGAGAAGGGAAGGUACAUUGAUAGCAUUGUUAAGAAAUUUGUGGCGUUGACCAUGGAAGAUAAGGAAGUAUUGAAAGCUAUAGUCACAACUGUCGUUUAAUGUUGCAGUUGCCUAGUUGCCUGCUGCUUUGUUUUGUGAAUUAGCUGUUGCAAUUUCACUCCCAGCCCUUGCCUCCGUAAGAGAAGAAAGAAUAGGAGACUUUGCAGGAUAUACAUUGGCAGGGGAAGAUAGUUAAGCUAGAACAGAAGAUUGAUCCAGGUAUUCUUGGGGAUCUUGUGCUAGAGUUUGGGCAGAAGGUGUUUUGAUGUGUCCAUUAAGACAAGGGCGAAGCAGAUGGAGGGGUUCCUGCAUGAGCCUAUAAACGUUGGCACCCUUUAAAAAGUGCUGCACCUCUUGGGGAUACCUCUGCAACAACUUCCAUCAAUGCUCUAGGAAGGAAAAUGAUAGGGAUAGAACCAGGAGGAAUGGAUCAAGACCCAAAGCCAUUGUGUUAUAUUACAUGAAGCAAUGAAAAAAGAAAAUAUGAAGGGCAGUCUCUACAAGCCAUUGAGGUUCUAUCGUAGAGACUGCCUCUUCUGUUUUCUUCUUUCAUUGCUUCGUCUAAUACACCCUCAAUGGCACUGGCCUUGAUCCAUUUCUUUUAGUUCUAUCGCUAUCACAAAAUUACUCUGAACCCCAUUUUCAUAUGAUGGGAAAGCAUCUCUUCACAAAUAAAAAUUUGUUCGGGUCAGGGCAACCGCUAGCAGACCUCUAGUUAUCCUACAUAUAUAGAGUUUUACGCCCAUUUUUGUGAUGCAUAUCAGCUUUUUCUCUUUUUUUUUUUAAUUAUUUAAUAAAACACUAUAGUCCCUCAAAAUUAAGGGUAUGUACAGUUUUUGAGGACUUGAAUUGAAUCUAAGAAUCCUAUCACACUAA